AUGGUCUCAGACAUCACACAAGCCUAACAGAAAGAACCCAUCUGCCUCUUCUGUCUGAACUAACUCGUAGACCCCAUCAUCACAGGCUGUGGCCCCAGCUUCUGUAGGCCCUGUCUCUGCCUUUUCUGGGAAGAAGCCAAAAUUCCUACCUGCUGCCAAAAAGAUAUUUGGAGCUGUGGAUAAGAGCCUGCUUCAUUUGCUAUUCUGGAACACUCAGGAGCACGGGGCUCCCAGACACGAGAUGAUAAUGAAGCAAACGAGUUCUUUUGGGGCAAAAAUUCAAGAAAACCAAAGAAAGUUAAAUGAGGAGAGCAGGAAAACCAACCAGUGGAGGUGUGAGUCAGAGCAGCGGCACAUGCCCCAGUGUGUGAGCUCGGAUCUCUGUGCUCAACCCAUCACUGGACUAAUGGACAGAUUUCAUGACCUCCAGGUGAGUGUCA
rnacentral:lncRNA from 1 species